rnacentral:misc_RNA from 1 species
GGGACUUCAAACAAGCUUAUAUAUUGCUUUUAUUCAAGUAUGCAUACAUAACAUAUUACAUACACAACUAGCAUGGUGCAGAUGCACCAAAUAUUGUUCAACUCCUCGAUUCACAGGCUUGGCUCAUGCAAUAGUUGUUUACACAUGAUUAAUCCCAAAAACAAAAGGUCUUAUUACCAAAGAAGUUACAAGAACAUUACCUUCUCAAUGACCAAAUUAAUCCACACUCGGAACAAGAUGAUUAUAGCAUCUUAUCUCCACAGCACAAACCAUCAUUUUCUGCUUGGGUUUUCCUUUACUUCAUUUGAUAUGAUCAUGAUGGUUGAGACGCAGUCUUCCAGCAAAAAGUUCCCAACCAUACACAAUUUCUCAUAUUAAAUAUGUCACUGCAGUAUAAAUUGACGCUUUUCCAUCAAUAACUUGCAUCUUCUGUUUCCAUCAAAGCAGUCAAGCUUUCCGCCUCAUCUUUAAGGAUAUAAUCAAACUUCGGGCAGACUUUCCAUCACAUACAAGAUUCAUUUUGUCCACUAAGUACUCCAUUGCUGGUUUGAGGUAGAAAGUGAUGAACUACUGCAACAUAAAAAGGCUAGUGGAUAUUCAAAUAACUAGCUAAAAAGUCCAUAUGCUGGAGAUGAUAAAUCUUUCUUGAUGUUUGGACUGCUUGAAUUGAAAGCAUGCACCAAGUCCGUUCUAAUUAAGCAAACACCAGCAAAACCAUUAAGAUGUAAGAGAAGCCAAAGAAUAGGCGAAGGCCUCAUUUGGCGCUGCAGGAGGGCCUGGGUCCAUAAAUUCCCAGGCCCCAAAACGCAGCUGGGGUAAGCAGCUUCUUGCUCUAGCUCCCCAUCUACAUUUUAGGACCUAGGAAUUUGUGCAUCCAAACCCCACCCCCCAAACAACGCCAAAUUUGCACUCAAGCCCACUGUUGCAAUACCUACACAUUGGGGGUACUCAAGAUGCAAAAAGCCAUUAAAUUGGCAACCAGCAGCUAUGCUACCUCUGAAAAUUGUGUGGCAUAAUGUCCCACUUAAGGUUGUCCAAGCACUUCUUUAAAUACCGUCCUCAAGGAAAAACUUCAGAACUUUCCCAGGGAUAAGAAAUUAAAAUAACUAAUCCUACAGGCUUGUUCUUCUACCAGAAAUCAAACUCCCACCAUUACCAACUUUCCAAUUCUAAGCGGAAAAAGAGCAUUUCCUGCUGACAUCAGUUCUAACCAAUUAUCAUUAAAUUUAGAACCUCAUGACUAUCUACAGGGCCCUUUUCCUUACUAUAGCAUUGGUAUAACUUAUGGACCAGCUGCAGACCCUAAAUCAGUGUUGGCUUCUGCAAGAGUAAUGGUGAGUGGCUGCCACCCAGACUGAUGGUGUACAAUCCAUUUCUUUAUGGCAAUUACCAUGUUUAAGAUCUGGAGUAUAUUACCCAAAGCAAGUUCUUUCAGGCACAUGCUCUUUAAAAUAGUAGCAGCUUCAUACCUGCACCGAGAAGAUAGAAUUGCAGAUCGUCCAGCAGGAGAUGUCAGAUAUUUCUGAGUUUCAUCCCACGUUGCUUUUGGAUAUUCCUUUGGAUUUCCACCUAUAGGGUUCACACAUUUCCAGAGUUUCUCAUUCUUACCAACAUACAACUGCACAGCUCCUAAGCUCUGUUUCACGACCAUCUGCUGCUCAAUAGCGCUCUCAAGGGCCUUCUUAAUAUCAGUAUUACGAUGUUUGGGAUCUCCAUAUCGAAUGCAAUCAGCUAUAUUUGAUUCAGUUGGCAUUAUCUUUUCAGUUUUAAGGGUGUUCAAGGCAAGUAAGAUAACUCCUAUAAGGCCUUGAACAUAUUCCGAAGGUUUGGGGCAUCCUGGAGUUCCCCAUAUAACAUUACCAGGAGCAACAUCGGUAGCUGUUACUGCUGAAGAAGAUGGUGGAUAUUCUGGACAACUGGAGUAUCUAUUGUUUGGUGUCUCAUGGUGUCCUGAUGGCUUGUUCUGUGGCAUAUAUCCAUUUUGUGAGUCAUUUAAUUUAACAGACUUUAGAGCUUUUUUCUUUGAAUCAUGCUUUUGCUCUCCGCCUCGUAUUUGAACAGCUGGAGGGUUGUGAAAGCUGGUUGGGUAUCCAGAAAUGUUCAAGUGACCAAUAUCAGGCGCAUUUGUAAGUGGUGCUGAGGUAAAGGUAGUCCCAUUGGGCCUAGCAGGCAUUAGAGGAGGAGUAUGGGUUUGAAUAUUAGGGGGAUACAAACUACCUGCUGCAAAAUCAGGAUGCAUAGCUGGAGCAUUUGGCCUUAGUGGCUGUGGAUAGUGAUUUUGAUGGUUGCCAUGAGCAUUAGUGACCUCACUCCAAGUAAAAUUAGGAUUUCCAGGAACAAAAUCUGGAGCAGGUCCAUUUAGGGGACCUUUUGGGACAUAAGGACCAGGUUGGUAAGAGUUAGAAUUAUGCUGAUCUUCUUGGGUCCAAACAGGCAUAUUUGAUGUUCUUGAUCCAUUUGUUUGGUUCAAAUUCCUUCGGGUGGGUUUCGCUUUCUGUUUAGUUAUAUAAGGAGUUCUCUGAUUUCCCAUAUUGAAAUUAUCAGGGUAGGAAUCCACUGGUUGCUUUAUGUGAAUGGCAUCAGAAAUUGGAAUCUGUAAAGUGUCUAAACUGGAUGUAAAAC